rnacentral:rRNA from 1 species
CCCUUAGAUGUUCUGGGCCGCACGCGUGCUACACUGAGUGGAUCAGCGGGUCAGGUUGCGCGAAAGUGUUUCCUAAUCUUGAAAUCCGCUCGUGAUGGGGAUUGACGGUUGCAAUUUUCCGUCAUGAACGAGGAAUACCUUGUAAGCGCGGGUCAUCAUCCCGCGCUGAAUACGUCCCUGCCCUUUGUACACACCGCCCGUCGCUCCUACCGAUUGAGUGGUCCGGUGAGGCUUUGGGAUCUGAGCGGAAAGAGCGUUUCGCUGUUUCUGCUCGGAAAACUCAGUCGAACCUUAUCGUUUAGAGGAAGGAGGAGUCGUAACA